rnacentral:rRNA from 1 species
CAUGCAGGUGGUUUCGUUAGUCGGAUGUGAAAGUCUCUGGCUUAACUAGAGGAGGUCGUUCGAUACUGCGAAACUUGAGGUCGGGAGAGGAAAGCGGAAUUCCCGGUGUAGUGGUGGAAUGCGUAGAUAUCGGGAGGAACACCAGUGGCGAAGGCGGCUUUCUGGCCCGCACCUGACACUAAGAUGCGAAAGCGUGGGUAGCGAACG